rnacentral:rRNA from 1 species
AGCGAACGCUGGCGGCAGGCCUAACACAUGCAAGUCGAACGGACCCUUCGGGGUUAGUGGCGGACGGGUGAGUAACACGUGGGAACGUGCCUUUAGGUUCGGAAUAGCUCCUGGAAACGGGUGGUAAUGCCGAAUGUGCCCUUAGGGGGAAAGAUUUAUCGCCUUUAGAGCGGCCCGCGUCUGAUUAGCUAGUUGGUGAGGUAAUGGCUCACCAAGGCUACGAUCAGUAGCUGGUCUGAGAGGAUGGCCAGCCACAUUGGGACUGAGACACGGCCCAAACUCCUACGGGAGGCAGCAGUGGGGAAUCUUGCGCAAUGGGCGAAAGCCUGACGCAGCCAUGCCGCGUGAAUGAUGAAGGUCUUAGGAUUGUAAAAUUCUUUCACCGGGGACGAUAAUGACGGUACCCGGAGAAGAAGCCCCGGCUAACUUCGUGCCAGCCGCCGCAGUAAGAC